AAAAGGUGGUUUUGAUGCACAUCUAGCUCUCACAUUUUGGCCACUAUCCUCUUUGUCUGUAGUUUGCUUUGCACUUUCAAUGGCUAUGACAUUUCCUCUCUCAAACCCUUAAUUGGAACUACUACGCUCGAAAACAUAAGAAAUACAAGAAAUAGCAAUCUCAGAAAACAACCAAAAAUGACAACACAGAAUGACCUCUAAUUGGUGCUCCACUCCUAUUCUCUUACUACCGGUCAUCAUGACAACAUGUUACCCAUACUGUCCAUUUCUCACCUCCGUCCCAUCUGACACAUUAACAAUUACUAAUUAUCCUUUCAGCCAUCUCUAUAUUCUAACACACUUAUACCA
rnacentral:lncRNA from 1 species